GAUGAACGCUAGCUACAGGCUUAACACAUGCAAGUCGAGGGACCGGCGCACGGGUGAGUAACACGUAUACAACCUGCUCUUUACUCGGGGAUAGCCUUUCGAAAGAAAGAUUAAUACCCGAUGUAAAGGAUGGAGAUGCGUUGCAUUAGGUUGUGGGUGAGGUAACGGCUCACCAAGCCUUCGAUGGAUAGGGGGUAUGAGAGCAACGACCCCGACACUGGAACUGAGCCACGAGCCACACUGCUAGCAGAGGCAGCAGUUAGGCAGAUUGGUAAAUGGGCGUGAGCCUGAAACAGCCCGGUAGCGUGAAGGAUGAUGGGUUGUGGGUCGUUGACUUCUGUUAUAUAAGAAUAGGUAUUAGAUUAAUAAGGAUCGGCUAACUCCGUGCCAGCAGCCGCGGUAAUUC
rnacentral:rRNA from 1 species